UCUGGUUGAUCCUGCCAGUAGCAUAUGCUUGUCUCAAAGAUUAAGCCAUGCAUGUCUAAGUACAAGCCUAAGUAAGGUGAAACCGCGAAUGGCUCAUUAAAUCACACCUAAUCUACUGGAAUGUUAGCAGUUACUUGGAUAACUGAGGUAAUUCUUGAGCUAAUACAUGCGAAAAAUCUCGACUCACGGAGAGAUGCUUUUAUUAGAUCAAAACCAAACGGCUUCGGCUGUUUAAUCUUGAUGACUCUGAAUAACUUUGGGCUGAUUGUAUUGCCUUGUGCAGACAACGUUUCCUUCGAAGGUGUGCCCUAUCAACUGUCGACUGUGAUAUAGACGCUCACAGUGGUUUUGACGGGUAACGGGGAAUCAGGGUUCGAUUCCGGAGAGGGAGCCUUAAAAACGGCUACCACAUCCAAGGAAGGCAGCAGGCACGCAAAUUACCCAAUGGUCGAAGACCGAGGUAGUGACGAAAAAUAACAAUACAAGACUCUUCCGAGGCCUUGUAAUUGGAAUGAGUACACUUUAAAACCGUUCCCGAGGAUCUAUUGGAGGGCAAGUCUGGUGCCAGCAGCCGCGGUAAUUCCAGCUCCAAUAGCGUAUAUUAAAGUUGUUGUGGUUAAAAAGCUCGUAGUUGGAUUUCGGCGGGUAUUGGUCGGUUUGAAUUGCUUCAACACUGACUUUUUUACCCGUGUGUUUUGUCAGAAUUUAACGGGUGAUCUUCGCCGAUUGUCCGUUAGAACUGACAGGUUUACUUUGAAAAAAUUAGAGUGCUCAAAGCAAGCUUAAUUGCUUGAAUAUUCGUGCAUGGAAUAAUAGAAUAGGAAGUCGUUUCUAUUUUGUUGGUUUUCGGAAAUCGACUUAAUGAUUAAUAGGGAUAGUCGGGGGCAUUUGUAUUCAAACGACAGAGGUGAAAUUCUUGGACCGUUUGAAGACAAACUACUGCGAAAGCAUUUGCCAAGAAUGUUUUCAUUAAUCAAGAACGAAAGUUAGAGGUUCGAAGGCGAUUAGAUACCGCCCUAGUUCUAACCAUAAACGAUGCCAGCUAGCGAUCUGCCGGUGUUUGAUUUUCUGACUCGGCAGGCAGCUUCCGGGAAACCAAAGCUUGUGGGUUCCAGGGGAAGUAUGGUUGCAAAGCUGAAACUUAAAGGAAUUGACGGAAGGGCACCACCAGGAGUGGAGCCUGCGGCUUAAUUUGACUCAACACGGGGAAUCUUACCAGGUCCAGACAUAGUAAGGAUUGACAGAUUGAUAGCUCUUUCUUGAUUCUGUGGGUGGUGGUGCAUGGCCGUUCUUAGUUGGUGGAGUGAUUUGUCUGGUUAAUUCCGAUAACGAACGAGACUCUGUCCUG
rnacentral:rRNA from 1 species